GAGCUCAUCGUCCAACGGAUAAGACAACUGCCUUCUAAGCAGUGAAUGUAGGUUCGAUUCCUACUGAGCUCA
rnacentral:tRNA from 1 species